rnacentral:rRNA from 1 species
AAUGAACGUUGGCGGCGUGGAUUAGGCAUGCAAGUCGAGCGAGAACCGGGGUUCGCCCUGGGGAAAGCGGCGAAAGGGAGAGUAAUGCGUAGGUACCUACCCUCGGGACCGGGAUAGCUACGGGAAACUGUAGGUAAUACCGGAUAACGUCUACGGACCAAAGGUGUGAUUCCGUCCGAGGCGGGGCCUGCGUCCGAUUAGCUUGUUGGCGAGGUAAUGGCUCACCAAGGCAACGAUCGGUACUGGGUGUGAGAGCAUGACCCAGCUCACUGGGACUGAGAUACUGCCCAGACACCUACGGGUGGCAG